rfam:Buchnera aphidicola (Cinara tujafilina), complete genome.
GGGGCUAUAGCUCAGCUGGGAGAGCGCCUGCUUUGCACGCAGGAGGUCAGCGGUUCAAUCCCGCUUAGCUCCA